rnacentral:rRNA from 1 species
CCUACGGGUGACAGCAGUGGGGGAUAUUGCACAAUGGGGGAAACCCUGAUGCAGCGACGCCGCGUGGGUGAAGAAGCGCCUCGGCGCGUAAAGCCCUGUCAGCAGGGAAGAAAAUGACGGUACCUGAAGAAGUCGCACCGGCUAACUACGUGCCAGCAGCCGCGGUAAUACGUAGGGGGCAAGCGUUAUCCGGAUUUACUGGGUGUAAAGGGGGCGCAGACGGCGAUGCAAGCCAGGAGUGAAAGCCCGGGGCCCAACCCCCGGACUGCUCGUGGAACUGCGUGGCUAGAGAGCAGGAGGGGCAUGCGGAAUUCCUGGUGUAGCGGUGAAAUGCGUAGAUAUCAGGAGGAACACCGAUGGCGAAGGCGGCCUGCUGGACUGGAACUGACGUUGAGGCCCGAAAGCGUGGGGAUCAAACAGGAUUAGAUACCCUUGUAGUC